rnacentral:rRNA from 1 species
UUGGCCGGGCGACGGUUGUCCCGGUUUAAGCGUGUAGGUGUGUGUUCCAGGUAAAUCCGGUUCACUUUAACACUGAGGCGUGAUGACGAGGCACUACGGUGCUGAAGCAACAAAUGCCCUGCUUCCAGGAAAAGCCUCUAAGCAUCAGGUAACAUCAAAUCGUACCCCAAACCGACACAGGUGGUCAGGUAGAGAAUACCAAGGCGCUUGAGAGAACUCGGGUGAAGGAACUAGGCAAAAUGGUGCCGUAACUUCGGGAGAAGGCACGCUGACAUGUAGGUGAAGUGAUUUACUCAUGGAGCUGAAGUCAGUCGAAGAUACCAGCUGGCUGCAACUGUUUAUUAAAAACACAGCACUGUGCAAACACGAAAGUGGACGUAUACGGUGUGACGCCUGCCCGGUGCCGGAAGGUUAAUUGAUGGGGUCAGCGCAAGCGAAGCUCCUGAUCGAAGCCCCGGUAAACGGCGGCCGUAACUAUAACGGUCCUAAGGUAGCGAAAUUCCUUGUCGGGUAAGUUCCGACCUGCACGAAUGGCGUAAUGAUGGCCAGGCUGUCUCCACCCGAGACUCAGUGAAAUUGAACUCGCUGUGAAGAUGCAGUGUACCCGCGGCAAGACGGAAAGACCCCGUGAACCUUUACUAUAGCUUGACACUGAACAUUGAGCCUUGAUGUGUAGGAUAGGUGGGAGGCUUUGAAGUGUGGACGCCAGUCUGCAUGGAGCCGACCUUGAAAUACCACCCUUUAAUGUUUGAUGUUCUAACGUGGACCCGUAAUCCGGGUUGCGGACAGUGUCUGGUGGGUAGUUUGACUGGGGCGGUCUCCUCCUAAAGAGUAACGGAGGAGCACGAAGGUUGGCUAAUCCUGGUCGGACAUCAGGAGGUUAGUGCAAUGGCAUAAGCCAGCUUGACUGCGAGCGUGACGGCGCGAGCAGGUGCGAAAGCAGGUCAUAGUGAUCCGGUGGUUCUGAAUGGAAGGGCCAUCGCUCAACGGAUAAAAGGUACUCCGGGGAUAACAGGCUGAUACCGCCCAAGAGUUCAUAUCGACGGCGGUGUUUGGCACCUCGAUGUCGGCUCAUCACAUCCUGGGGCUGAAGUAGGUCCCAAGGGUAUGGCUGUUCGCCAUUUAAAGUGGUACGCGAGCUGGGUUUAGAACGUCGUGAGACAGUUCGGUCCCUAUCUGCCGUGGGCGCUGGAGAACUGAGGGGGGCUGCUCCUAGUACGAGAGGACCGGAGUGGACGCAUCACUGGUGUUCGGGUUGUCAUGCCAAUGGCACUGCCCGGUAGCUAAAUGCGGAAGAGAUAAGUGCUGAAAGCAUCUAAGCACGAAACUUGCCCCGA